AAUAGAUACCCUGGUAGUCCAUGCCGUAAACGUUGGGAACUAGGUGUGGGUCUCAUUCCACGAGAUCCGUGCCGCAGCUAACGCAUUAAGUUCCCCGCCUGGGGAGUACGGCCGCAAGGCUAAAACUCAAAGGAAUUGACGGGGGCCCGCACAAGCGGCGGAGCAUGCGGAUUAAUUCGAUGCAACGCGAAGAACCUUACCAAGGCUUGACAUACACCGGAAUCACUCAGAGAUGGGUGCGUCUUCGGACUGGUGUACAGGUGGUGCAUGGUUGUCGUCAGCUCGUGUCGUGAGAUGUUGGGUUAAGUCCCGCAACGAGCGCAACCCUCGUUCUAUGUUGCCAGCACGUGAUGGUGGUGACUCAUAGGAGACUGCCGGGGUCAACUCGGAGGAAGGUGGGGAUGACGUCAAAUCAUCAUGCCCCUUAUGUCUUGGGCUUCACGCAUGCUACAAUGGCCGGUACAAAGGGCUGCGAAACCGCGAGGUGGAGCGAAUCCCAAAAAACCGGUCUCAGUUCGGAUUGGGGU
rnacentral:rRNA from 1 species